rnacentral:tRNA from 1 species
ACUUUUAAUGGAAAACAGGCAUCCGCUGGUUUUAGGAACCAAAACUCUUGGUGCAAAUCCAAGUAAAAGUAAUG